rnacentral:rRNA from 1 species
UACGUAGGGGGCAAGCGUUGUCCGGAUUUAUUGGGCGUAAAGAGCGUGUAGGCGGCUUUGCAAGUCGGUUGUGAAAACUCGAGGCUCAACCUCGAGACGCCGGUGGAAACUGCAAAGCUAGAGUCCGGAAGAGGAGAGUGGAAUUCCUGGUGUAGCGGUGAAAUGCGCAGAUAUCAGGAAGAACACCCGUGGCGAAGGCGGCUCUCUGGGACGGUACUGACGCUGAGACGCGAAAGCGUGGGGAGCGAACAGG